UCCUGGCUCCUGACUGCAGUCUUCCUCCAUGGUGCUGCUUGAGUAUCUGCGAGAUGGGUCUGUAUUCCCUUAGGCUGAGUCAAGACAGACUUAGGAUUCACACACUUCAGCGGAGCAUGUCACCAAGGCCAAAGGGGCUGCUUGGCUCAUCCUGAAUAAAGGAAUGAGUAUCAAAACAUUUGGAUCAUUCUUGUGAGCCCAUCUCCUUUUGUGGAUAGAUAUCCUGUUUGCCUUUCUACUGAUUUUUUUUUUUUUUUUUUUUUUUUUUUUUUUUUUUUCAAGGCGGAGAGUGGGAGACUCAAGGCUUUCUCAGCAACUGACAUCCAUUCUACUAGGUGACUCUAUGUGAGGAUUUCCAACUGGCAGCAAGCUUUGGGAACUGUGCUGGGAGAGAGAAAAGCUGUUUUGUGAGCUGUCUCGAGUUCCAUCAAUAGGUCAAGCUGCCCACACUGGAGAGGCUGCCUGUAAAAUCUCAGCCGAGGAAAAUUUGCCUCCGUGUUUCCUCUCCCGGUACUCAAUGGGAAUUGAGCUAACUGCAAGCUUGGUAAAGAGCAACCGCAGAGUACUAAACAGCGAAAAGAAAUGGAUAUUGAGUGUACAAAGCCCCCAGCACACAUGAAUAAACCAUUUCUG